AAAAUUCUAGCAACAAAAAUCCUAAAUUGACUUGAGACGCAAGAGGCAAAUGACUAAACAGGCAAUUAAAUUAAUGAUGGUUUGAAAUUAAGUAAUUAAAAAGCUAAAAUCUUGAGAAAAAAAACUCUCCCCUUUUCCUACAGUCUAGUCCCUUUUGUCUUUCUAUUUGGAAUUCUAUUCCUCUAUUGAAAAAAAAAAAAAAAAAAAAAAAGUCUAGCCCUCUAGCGUACUCUGAGUUUUCCAUUGAAGCACCUACCACGCUUUAUCUCCUCCAAGCUGCUUCUAAGAGUGUCCAUGGUCUCUUGGUUAGCAGUAUAAGGAUGGUGAACUCUUAAACUUCUGGGAACAUCUCAUGACUUUGGGUUUUUACUCUUCCUGGAAUUGCUUGAGAAAUUUGACAAGCAGACUUCAGUUUUCUCAAAGGUGAACAUGUUUUGUUUUAAAUUAAAUGAUAAUUAAAUCCAAGCUUCAUGUUUUGAUUAUCCUUUUUUAUUAAUUUAUUAAUCUGUGAACCCUAUUCAAUACUCGUAUCUAAUAGACAAUUAUCCAUUAUUUAUUUAUUUAUUUUUAAAUUGCAAUAUUGGUAUCAUUUAAUUUUUAUGUAGUUCGUCUGUUUUCAGAAGCUCUUAUUUAUUUAUUUAUUUAUUUAUUUAUUUAUUUAUUUAUUUAUUCCUACUAUUGUACACAAAGACAAUAGGAUGGUUGAUGUGUUUAGUGGGUUUAAUAAAAAGGUGGAUUAAGUAGGAGAGAAAGUGUAAAAAGGUGGGUGGGUGUAAGAGAUAUAUGGAUGAAGAGAGUAAGUGAAAAGGUAUAAAUAUUGUAGAGCAAGCGGUAUAAGGUAGUAAAAAGGGUUUGCCAGUGUAAAUUGAAAGUGUUAAGAACUUCCAGAUUCGAACAGAAAAUAGAAAGUGUUCAGAACUUUUUAAAAUUAUACUACGUACUAAAAUUCGGAACAGAACAGAAAUAGAAGAAACAGAUUCUUCCCUUUUCAAGCCAAGUCUCACAUUGUGUAGCAUUUUCCCCUGUUUUGCUUCAAAUUACGUACCUUGCAUGGUGGUUAUAGUUGACUUUUAAAAUUAUGGAGUUUGACCAUUGUUUUCAUUUGGUUCCAUCUCAUUCAUUGAAUCCUUCAAGUCAAAUGAUUUCAAUGCAUGAUUAUGUCCAGACUUGUGCAUUGCAUGGCUUGUUGAUUUCUCACGUGCAUUCUUGCAUUGAAACCCUGAAGAGAUUUUUUGAGGUUUGCGCAACAUGUCAUUGAAAGUCCUGCAUGGGACUAACAUGACAAUUCUGUUACACUUUCAAUUAAGCAAUCUCUGUUUGUAUGGAUACAAACUUUGUAAAAGAUUUAAUGACGUUUGAUUGGUUUCUAGUUAUG